CAGGUUCCAGUAUUUUCUGGUUUUCCAGCUUCCCCAAAUGGUGAUUUUCAGAUGUUCCCAGUCAUGUACCCUGCACUUAUACCAGGGUUUAGGAAUGUGUCACCAAUGUACAAAGCCACACCAAGCCAGCCAGAUCUGCCAUUCUCUUCUCGAUCUCCUCCACCAUGCCUUAGAAAUGGUGGUUUCGAUCUAUGAAGGUUUAGCUCACCCAUCAAACAUCAUUUGGAAAGCGGCGUCUGAAUUUUUGAAAUUGGGAUAUGGUCUUCUGCAAUGGAGU